UGUAGCCGCAGCUGGAUGAACCUCAUUUGCGGGAGCUAGGACAGGAGGCUUCCCCAUUUGUGGCAGUCCCCAGCCGGAGACGGGGACGAGGCAGCACCUGCCAGGAUGAAUGGUUUGCUCCCCGCCCCCAGGAGGGAGGAGACCUUCCCGCCCCCUCCACUAUCACGUGGGAAAACAAAUGCUGCGGCCGCUGCCCUGCCCUGCUCCUGUGGCCCGGCGGGCGGGCUGCGUGCAGCACCAUGAAGAUGCAUUUCAGCAUCCCCGUCUCGGAGCAGCUGCUGGAGAAGUUCGGGGGCCGCUACGUGCUGUACUCUGUGUACCUGGAAGGCUUCCUCUUCUGCAAGGUGCGCUACAGCCAGCUACACCACUGGAACGAUCAGGUGAGAGACUCCAGCCCAACCCCCUUCUCACUCUCCCUUGCCAGGUUCAGCUAGGGGAACUUCCAUCAAAUGGCCAACAAAUGCUCCAUUGAAAUGAGGAGAGACAAGGUGGGCGAGGGCGUAUCUUUUACUGGACCAACUUCUGUUGGUGAAAGAGAUGAGCUUUUGAGAUGCACAGAGCUCUUCUUCACCUCAUUGAAAUGAAUGCAGGCUGAGAUCCUGUAAUGUUGCCUGUGGAUGGUAAUGAGCUUUUCUUGUGUAGUACUUGAAGUGGGAGGGAGAUACAUAAAGGUCUGGGUGCUGUGGAGUGAGUGUGUUAUUACACACAUUUUUAAGGUGCCCAGCACCGUAGGGAGUGGCAAACUCUGAAGCAAAGCAGAGAAAUAUUGAGAGGAGGGAUGUCGGGAAAUACAAUAUUCUGGAAAUUUAUAUUCGUGCCAAAGAAGAGCUAUUUUUUAAUUUUGGGUAAUGGAGAUGGAAUUUUUUGGCUGUCCCCCAUUUCCUUUGCACUUAAAUAGGUAAUAUGAAGUAUGAAUUGGAGGUGAUUACAAAUCUAAUGCUUCUUUGAUAAACUCUUCACCCUUUAUAAGCAGUUUGAUUUCAUUUUUUCCUCCUACUUUUCCAAUUAUUUUCAUGGCAGUUCUUUGGCUUUUAUUAUGCAUACCCCAGGCAUGCUGGUCUGAGCUAUAUGCAAGAGAUGAGAUAUCUUACCCCCCCCCCCCCCACCACCACCCCUUUUCUUUGCAAAAUAUUUUCCAUUUUUCCCAUAAUACUCCUCAGUGAAGGUUUAAGGUGUUUCCUUAUUGAGACCUGGCAACAUCUGAAAGCUAUGAAAGGGGAAUUGAGUAAUGGUCAUGUACCAGUAUUCAGGGGAACAGGUUUCACACAGUUAUUUUUGGUAUCAUUGACUGCAAGAAGUUUGCUCUGAUUUUAAGACAUCCAAAACUAUUGCAGCAUUUCUCUCCGAGUCAUAAAUAACACUAGAGCCUCUUUUAGGCUCUGUCUAUGCUAGAGUUCAAAUCAUAGGGUUUUUUUCACUGUUCUUGCUUGGAAGGUGCUAACGUUGUUUUGAGUUCAAGUAUAUAGGCUCCAACUAUGUAUGUUGGGGCCAAGGUCCUGCUGUUAACACACCUAUGGACUGUGUGAGUCAGAGUCGUGGGAAAUACGAUCUCGUGAAUAGGGCAUUAGACUGGGAUUGAGGAGACCUGGGUUCAGUUUCUAAUUUGACUACAGACACUCUGUGAUCUUGACACGUCAAUUAAUCUACCCUCUUCCUCAAUUACUUAUCUGUAACAUGGGAAUAAUUACUUCCCUGCCUCAAGGGGUUGGUGUGAAGAUAAAAUCCCCAUUAAUGAUAGUGGGAGCUUUAUAAAUACCUAGAGCGGUUUAUCACAUAAUUUUCAGAUAACAGUAAGUGUUAUGGAUAAUUACAUAACAAGCUCUUUUGUAUUGUGUACAACCUGUUGAUCUUCAUUAGUGUAUUCUUCUGGAUCACCCAUUCUCUGAUCUAGUAACAAAUAUGAAAUAGUAAAGGGGUACUACAGGAGGGUGUAAUAGAUUUAUGUUUAUAUAUUGCCUGAGCAGUGAAAGACACAUCAAAUAGCUGGAUUAUUUCCAUCAGUCUUACAUUUUCACAUCCAUAAAUGUCCAGAUCACUUAUGUUUAAUAGUGUCCUAAGGAAGCCACUCUGCUUAACAAUUCUAACAGCAGACUGGAAAUAGCAGUAGAAAAUGUACUGCAGAGGUCAGUCCAAUACUGGUGAUAGGUGGACUGGAUAAUCUAUUCCAGAAGUUCUCAAACUGUAGUCUGUGGAAACCUCCAAGUUAACAUCAUGCUGGUUCCCUCCUCCACUCCAGCUGCUAUAUUGCGUGAAGACAGCUGCAAAUACAUAGAAAAGGGCCACUAGGGAAGUAUUGUAAGUAGGGCUGUCAAGCGAUUAAAAAAAUUAAUCGUGAUUAAUCGCGCUGUUAAAUAAUAGUAGAAUACCGUUUAUAUAAAUAUUUUUUGAUAUUUUCCACAUUUUCAAAUAUAUUGAUUUCAAUUACAACACAGAAUACAAAGUGUACAGUGCUCACUUUAUAUUUAUUUUUAUUAUAAAUAUUUGUACUGUAAAAAUAAAGAAAUAGUAUUUUUCA
ensembl:lncRNA